UGGGGAAUCUUGGACAAUGGGCGCAAGCCUGAUCCAGCCAUGCCGCGUGGAUGAUGAAGGCCUUAGGGUUGUAAAAUCCUUUCGCCGAGGACGAUAAUGACGGUACUCGGAGAAGAAGCUCCGGCUAACUUCGUGCCAGCAGCCGCGGUAAUACGAAGGGGGCUAGCGUUGUUUGGAUUUACUGGGCGUAAAGCGCGUGUAGGCGGGUCGUUAAGUUGGGGGUGAAAUCCCGAGGCUCAACCUCGGAACUGCCUUCAAAACUGGCGACCUGGACCUAAGUAGAGGCAAGUGGAAUUGCGAGUGUAGAGGUGAAAUUCGUAAGAUAUUCGCAGGAACAC
rnacentral:rRNA from 1 species